rnacentral:rRNA from 1 species
AUUGAACGCUGGCGGCAUGCCUUACACAUGCAAGUCGAACGGCAGCAUGAUCUAGCUUGCUCGAUUGAUGGCGAGUGGCGCACGGGUGAGUAAUACAUCGGAACGUGCCCUGUAGUGGGGGAUAACUAGUCGAAAGAUUAGCUAAUACCGCAUACGACCUGAGGGUGAAAGUGGGGGACCGCAAGGCCUCAUGCUAUAGGAGCGGCCGAUGUCUGAUUAGCUAGUUGGUGAGGUAAAGGCUCACCAAGGCGACGAUCAGUAGCUGGUCUGAGAGGACGAUCAGCCACACUGGGACUGAGACACGGCCCAGACUCCUACGGGAGGCAGCAGUGGGGAAUUUUGGACAAUGGGCGAAAGCCUGAUCCAGCAAUGCCGCGUGUGUGAAGAAGGCCUUCGGGUUGUAAAGCACUUUUGUCCGGAAAGAAAUGGCUCUGGUUAAUACCUGGGGUCGAUGGCGGUACCGGAAGAAUAAGGACCGGCUAACUACGUG